rnacentral:misc_RNA from 1 species
AAAUUGGUUUAGAUAUACAGAAUUUAGAUCAAUGUAUUUAUAUGUUCUUGCAACAAGAGAUUCUCUUUGCAUGACCUUAUAUAGCAUUGCUUUAAAUGGUAUUGAAAUCCGAUUUUGGCUUUUUCAGGGUAAUCCCUCUGUGCAAAGUAAACCCUUUGGAGAUGUGAGUGAUGCUCAUAUUCUCUCUAUUUCUUCUACAAAAUGACAACUCAUUACACUGAGAUGGUGUGCUCAUCAACGUUCAAGCCUUUUAAAGGAACAGGUGGGAACCAUUUUGGAUUUUUUAUGGAGUUUCCAAAAUAAUGAGACUUUUAACAAUUUGCUGAAGACAUUAUUUAACGUUGUCUUGUGCCCAUUACGUUUGAAAGGAAUCGGAAACAUUUUUCAACACUUCUCCUGUUGCAUACCUUUGUACAAUGUAUAUAUCGUAUGGUUUAGUCGAAAUGGUAAUAAAAUGACUUAUUUUUAG